GUCACGACGCUGUAACGGCUUCCUGUAGCGCUCAACGUUGCUGACUUGCUCUGGCUCCUGAUCUGUGGGAAUACUGGGAGGUAGCGAGGAAAUGUGGAUCUGCUCAGGAGCGGGGUUUCUGCCUGGAAGCAAACAGAUGUCCCUAUAAUGCUUCCAUAAUGUCGGGGUACACGCUCUGGGGAGGCCAAUCCAUGACUGAUAGACUUCCACUGUAUACUUUUCUGUGCAGGUAUGACUUUACUGCACUGACAGUGUGUUUGGGAUCACUGUCAUGCUGAUAAAUGAAGCUUCUCUCAAUCAGACACUUUCCAGUCUUACAGGCUUACAGAUGUAGACGCCCACCGUGUACCUCUAAUAAAAGCCUGA